rnacentral:tRNA from 1 species
ACGAAAGAUUGACGAUUGGUAAGAAUCCACAACAAGUUGUUCUUCAUAGAUGUAUCUGAGGGUCUGUAGCUCAGUUGGUUAGAGCACACGCUUGAUAAGCGUGGGGUCACAAGUUCAAGUCUUGUCAGACCCACCAUGGCUUUGACUGGUUGAAGUUAUAGAUAAAAGAUACAUGACUGAUGAUGUAAGCUGGGGACUUAGCUUAGUUGGUAGAGCGCCUGCUUUGCACGCAGGAGGUCAGGAGUUCGACUCUCCUAGUCUCCACCAGAACUUAAGAGAAGUUCGGAUUACAGAAAUUAGUAAAUAGAGAUUUAGAUCUUGGUUUAUUAACUUCUGUGAUUUAAGUAUCACGGUAUUAAGCAUGACCUGACGAAGGCGUGUUUAUUCAUUAACAGAUUGGCAAAAUUGAGUCUGAAAUAAAUUGUUCACUCAAUAACAAAAAGAGAUGAAGUAAUUCUGAUCUUGGAGUUAAUUGAGAACUAGCAAAUUAACUGAAUCGAGCGUUUUGGUAUAUGAAUUUAGAUUGAAGCUGUACAGUGUUUAAGUACACAGACAACAGAUAGUAGCGAUGAAGAAUCGCACGGACAACACUCACUUGUAGGUGUUGACGACUGUUUGGGGUUGUA